rnacentral:misc_RNA from 1 species
CCUUUGCCUUUCUUUCCUCUCUUCUUCAACAUGUUAGUGCUGUCACGCUCAGCACAGGCACCAUACUUCUUCUCCAGAAACAACGCAGCCUUGGCAACAAGACAAUUAGAAAAUGUAGUUUUAUCAUUGUUCGUGACCGUUGGCAAAGCUGCUUGGCAUUCUUCUUGAACCAUGUUUCUAGUUUGUUGAGUCUCCUGGAAUCUUAGCUUUAACCAUUGCAUAAUGGACUCUUUUAGCUCUCUUUCCUUUUGGUCAUUAUCCCCCAACCAACCA